rnacentral:tRNA from 1 species
GCGCCCGUAGCUUAAUGGAUAAAGUAACUGGCUUCGAACCAGUUGAUGGGGGUUCGAUUCCCUCCGGGCGCA